rnacentral:rRNA from 1 species
UACGUAGGGGGCUAGCGUUGUCCGGAUUUAUUGGGCGUAAAGAGCGUGUAGGCGGCCAGGUAGGUCUGCUGUGAAAACUCGAGGCUUAACCUCGAGAUGUCGGCGGAAACCAUCUGGCUAGAGUCCGGAAGAGGAGAGUGGAAUUCCUGGUGUAGCGGUGAAAUGCGCAGAUAUCAGGAAGAACACCCGUGGCGAAGGCGGCUCUCUGGGGAC